AUUUGUUUUAAAAAAGAGAGAGAGAAGAGAAAUGUUUAUUUUACUGGAAUUUUAUUAUACCAAAUAUUGUUCCAAUAUGUAGGCCGUGAUGUGGCACUCUAAAAUCUAGUUCUUGUAAAGAGAUAUAUAAGAAAGCCAUGUUUGUGUUGGUAAGAUUUAAUAAUCAAUCCCCUAGUGAGCUGGGAGAAUUCUUGCCACUUUCAAAGACACCUGCCUUAACCGUAAGACCUAUGGAAAUCUCAUUUGUGGUGUCAUUCUGGGAUCACAAAAGGAUUCCAUUUAAAAUGCAUCGUUAAUUUUUCUACAGAAAUGGAUAUAGAUUGCUAUCUAACAUUUGGAAAUUCAUAGAUUAAUUAAUUUAAAAGAAGUUCAAUGAAAGGAAAGAAGAGAAAAUGAGCAGUGAUAGCUAAAGAUAAAGAAAGCCUGAUCAAUGUAUAUUUGCUUUUUCAAAAAGCAUUUAAUAGGAAACCCCUCAUACUCUGGGCCCCUUACUGACCACUGCAGUUCUGGGAGAAAUGAUGUAAACAUAAAACAUUUUAGUAAAUAUAAUUAUAAUGAGUUCUAAUCACUUAAGAGUAUAUAUUUUUUCUUUGCACCAUGGGUCAUAUGUGAAAUUGUUUUAUUAAUUUUAAAAGAGAGAGAAAUGCUUCCUAACACACAUUAGUUGGAAUAGCGUAAUGGCCAGUAUAACCAGUUUCUUAAACAAGUCAAUUAGAGGAGACGAUCUUUCAGGUAUCCCAUUUGAUUUAUUAUUCACUUGGGAAUUAACAGAGAAUGGAUCAUGAUAUAAAUUCCUCUGUAGGUUUUAUUAUAUUGGCAUUUUGGUGGAUAGAUAAUAUAUAGAACCCCUGGGCCUAUCACUAUCAAGGAUGCUAUUGAUUGUAUCAGCAGCAUUAUCCUGCAAUUUUCCCUCAUAACUAUUUAUGCAUCUCUCUGUGAUUUGUAAUUCAGCAGUAAUCAUUUUCUGUGGCUGCUGCAAUUUUCUUUCCAUGUGGUACCUAGGCUAUGUACUGAAACAAGGCUUGAUUUUAAGCCCAAAGAUUUGGGGUUUCGUUUUAGAAUAAUAGAGAGGAGAUCAAAGAAGUUUUAGAAUUAGAAUUAAUUGUUAAGGAUGAGGAGGAAACAUUAGUCCUUUAUUUUAUUAGUUCCAUGGGUGGAUGAGAGAUAAGCAGUGGCAAAGUGGGAGAACACAGAUAAAAUCAGAGGUGAUUUCAUCAGGGUAGCAGGAGAGGAAAUUAGCAGGAACUUGAUGCUUGGACAAAGUUGAGUCUACUUUUCCCUGCUGGCUCCUUUGGGGGCUGCUUCUGAGCACUUCGUGGGCUUGGAAAGGGAGUAGAAUCUUUUUAAAGCCCUGCUUAUCCCCUCAGGGAGAAAAAAAAAUCUCUGAGGGCCCUGGACUUGGACUGAAACAGAGUUUCAACAGGGUUGAAACCUUGCUCUGGGAACAGAGGCACCAAGCAAGUUUGGGGAGGAAGGGCUAGCUUUUACUUGCCUAACUGAAGAGUGGCAACAUGAAGGUGAUGCACAAAACACACUUGUUUACUUUUCUCCAUCCAUAGUGAGGAAGAAACACACAGAAGAGAACGGUUGUAGCACCCAGGUUGCAGGUGCAUCAGAAAUAGAGAAAUGUAUUCACACCUUGAAGUUGAUGCCGAGGGCUUCUUAAGGAAACUCUAGAGGAUGGGAAAGGAGUACUUCGAUUAGGUCUCCGUGACUCAGGAUAGCUAACAUCCCAGAACUUUCACUCGUAAUUUUGCUCAGACUUCGUCUCCAAGAUCACAUGUUCUCAGUCACAGAACCAUGAGUCGUUAUAUUUCAUCCAAAGAUGACCUGCAAUCCUGCCAUGUUUUGCAGCUGCCACACCCACAGCAGUGCACCUGAUUUUCUGUUGAUUAAAAUGGUCCAACAGCGGGCGCCCCUCCCCACUACCUCGGAAGAGCAACUAUUUAUCCUUUAGAAUCUACCUUGUCCAGGGCUUUUAUAUGCCUGGCCUUUGAAUCGGUCAUCUCCUGUUUGUAUCGUGACUAAGGGAGAGGCUUUCUGGCAAAAUCUUGUCAGUGAUGGUGAUUUCUCCUCCACAUUGCUGCUGAAACUGGGAUGCAGACUUCCUUCACAUUGGCUUUCUUCUUCAGGAAAUGCACAGGAGCCUCUUGCCUUGUAAUACACAGUCUGUCUCAUUCAUAAAGUCUUGUCCUGGAAAAUGCCUCAUUCAUCCCUGCAGAAGACCCGCCGUUGGGAGGGCAGGGGCGUUCGAAACCUUGGGAGACAGAAGACAAUAGUGGAGUGCUUGGCAGCAGUGCCUGGGCUGCUUUAGCAACAUGCACCCACGCCAGGGAGAGGAUAAAACGCUGCAGUUGUUUACUUGCCUCUCUGGAGCAAAAGAGUCUCUUCGCCUACAAUAUAGAUGCCAAAUCCUCAGGUCCUGAGUGAGGAAAUGAUGAGCUUCGCCGGGGAUUGGCAUGAAGUCCUGUGCUCCAAGAUAGCACGGCAUUUUACUUGAAAGCAUUCGUUGUUUAAAGAGAAAACGAGAAUUGUGGGAUUUUUUGUCAAUCGAGAGUCAGCCAACUUCCUCUCCCACUGGCCGCUCACACAGAAUGCCCACCGUGCCCUGCGGUGCCCUGCCACGGAGCCAGGCUGGCCUGCUCUCUGGCCACCGAAGGCACUUGCUUCUCUUUCGGAAUCUGAUCACAGGCAACUUAAAUUUGCCAACGUUACCCAUAUUAGUAAUUGCAAAAUAAUAAACAUGGCAAAUUUCCUAUUAAUAAGGCAUCCAGUGUAACUCCUUUUGCAGAAAGAGCUCUCUGGAAUCCUAAGCCUAAUAGGUCUGUGUUUAUUUCUCCACCAGCAGCAUAAUGUGACUGAUUUACAAGAGUUUAACUCAAGUGUUAAUCUGACAGUGACGAAGAGCUCCUCACUGGUGCAGUCACUUACACUAUCAUAUUAGUUGCCUCCUCUAUUAAAGCAGUGUGGUCGAUAAUUGGAAUGCUUUUAUGUCUAGUGGUUCUGACAAGCCUCUUCUUCAGGUCACAUAUGGGCGGUCUAGCUCUCCGCUCAGCCCAACAGUGGCAAAUAAUUUAAACUGAGAAAGUAUUGUUCUCCUCGUAUUGUGGAGCAAGGGCAGUUCAAGGGAAGUGAGACUGUGCACUGGCUACCUGCUGCUGUGCAGUAAAAUAAGGUGGACAUGAUACAGGGUUGGGAGUACAAUUAAAUCUAUUUUGCACCAAUGUGUUGCUGGACAGAUGAGUUUCCACAUGGCAGAGCUUUAUGAUCUUUAAGGUAGACUGAACUAAUAGAUUGGUGUGGAGCGCACUGAAGUUACCAAGGAUGAGAAAGCAGGCAGUAGUACAUUUGAACUACAGGUUUCUCAUAUGCUCCACGUCAUGCUGAGUUUUUAUAGCUCCUGGCUUUCAAAAAGCCUGUUUCAAAGAGGUUUGCGCUAGACUGGGCAUGCAGUUUUGCUCUGCAGAUAUUGUCGCUACCGAUUUAGUGGAAUGCAAUUAGGAAGCCUAAAUUAAGUGGUAAUGGAGAACCAGCUCUUGAAACUGGGGUUUCCACGGCAACCACUGCUUACAAUACAGCCUUCAGUUAGUUUUCCCACUUUAUCUGCAAAAUGCACAAUUGAGCUUUAAAACAGCUCGGUGCUGAAAAACGCACUGUAAACAACUGUUUGCAAUGAGAGUUUUACACUGUCUUUAAAUACAACAAACUAUCACAUAAAAUUUACUUGCCCUCCCUAAUAAAGCAAAAUCUGGGUUGGCAAUCAGUUAGCGAUUUUAAAAUUUAUUAUUCCUUUCCCCUGUUUGGAUUUAUUUUUAAGGGAAGAUGCCACGAGUCAUUAGGUCUCUUAACUUUGGUCAUUCUUGCUGCAUUUUCAGCUCCCCUGACAAUCUGCCUAUCCCACCAGUCCCUUGCUAAAAUGUGUUUCAUCUUAGCAAAUAAUUGUUUCAAAUAAACAUACAAUGUGCUCCUUUUCUAGGUUCUUUUCGUAUUUUGGUAACAUUUUACAGAUUCUGCUCGUGUUUUCCCUUUGUAACAUGUCAUAGAUUUGCAAGACUUUCCUAUUUACUAAUUUGUUAUUAAUCUUCUUUCCAGCUUACUACUCUUUUAAAAGUCCACGUUUCAUUUCUCUGUACAUUCGGCAAUUAACCAUCGAGGCUGUCUUUUGCCAGCCUAACUAGCAAGAGGAGACAGUUAAAAGAUAAUAUCAAAGCAGGUGUAUUGCUAAACACAGUUGUUUAAAACAGCUAUGAAGAACUUGUACUUUUGUAAAACUCAUUUUCUUUCAUGUCUUAACAGGAUGAGCACUGGAACAUGUCCGGACAGAUCCAGGCAGCUGGUGAAAACUCAUGAAUUCUCUGCAGCACAGAAGGGAGCAGGUUUGCAUUCAGGCCACUGAGACGACGGAGGCUGCAUCACAGAAGAGGCCGUGGGAGGUCACAGGUACGGCCUCUCCUUCUGACUGUACAAUGAACUCUGCAAGCUGUGUGGUCAGAGUGCCAGGGACAGCCAGGAACUGCUGUCAUCGUUCCAGGUGGAGCUGACAGACUGUCUCCGAAGCGCCCACCUGCGCGUGCGCCCCCUCUUCCCGGCACAGGCUAGAGAUGCGCAGAAUCCUAACUACGGCCACCGUUUCCUGCCUCAACGAGCCAUGCCCUAAAAGAAACAAAUGCAUCGCCCCAGAAUUCUUAGAAAGUUACAAUCAUCUGCUUAACUCUUUUAAUUUCCUUUUCCUUCAACUUAAACUUUAAUUUCAGGUAUCUUCUAUACAACACAGAAGUCACGCUCUGGAUAGAAUUAAAAGGAAAUUAACUUGGGGUUUAGGGUGGACGUUUUUUGCCUUAUUUUGCUUCUUAGUAAAUGAAAGUGAAGCCUGAAUAAUGAGAAUAUUAUUAAUCCAUCUCCAUUUUUCUACUUUAAAGGCACAGCAUAGAUUUUGGUUCCAGUUGUUACUACUUUAAUGAGAGUAAUGAAUAUUCCAUGUGAGGGCAGUGUGCAUGAAAGUGUGCUGGGAAAGUUCUAUGGAUCUUUGUGUUUUGUUUCAGUUUUGAGGAUUAAAUGCAAGUUUAAUCCUUUAAUGAAUAUAUAAGUCGGUUGAUGCCCUUUCUUGAGAAAGUUAUGGUUAAAUUGUUGUGUCAAAUCAUUGUAUUUCAUUCUGUCUCCAGUGUGGGGGUAGCAUAGAGAGGUGGUGGGUAGGGCUGGGGGUGAAUAUGUGUGUUUUUCUUAAGCGACGCUAGUUUUGGAAAAUGUAAGGAUUCCAAAGGUUAAUGUGGAUUAAAAUGCUGUCUGCCAUGAACUUUAGAAAUUGAAAUAAAUGUGGUUGGUAAAAGAAGAACUGUGUUUUGAUUACACGGAAAUGCUUUUGUAGGCCUUUUCUUUCAGGUGAAGUAAACAUCUUAAAAAUAAGCACAAUAAAUAUGUUUCU
rnacentral:lncRNA from 1 species